GACGAACGCUGGCGGCGUGCUUAAAACAUGCAAGUCGAACGGACUUCUCAUGAAGCUUGCGAUUGAGAAGUUAGUGGCGGACGGGUGAGUAACGCGUGGGCAACCUGCCCCUGAGCCCGGGAUAACAGUUCGAAAGGACUGCUAAGACCGGAUAUACUUGCGGGGAAGCAUUUCACUGCAAGGAAAGGGAACGCUCAGGGAUGGGCCCGCGUCCCAUUAGCUAGUUGGUGAGGUAACGGCCCACCAAGGCGACGAUGGGUAGCCGGCCUGAGAGGGUGAACGGCCACACUGGGACUGAGACACGGCCCAGACUCCUACGGGAGGCAGCAGUUGGGAAUCUUCGGCAAUGGGCGCAAGCCUGACCGAGCAACGCCGCGUGAGUGAUGAAGGUUUUCGGAUUGUAAAGCUCUGUCUUCCGGGACGAUAAUGACGGUACCGGAGGAGGAAGCCACGGCUAACUACGUGCCAGCAGCCGACGGUAAACACGAGAGUA
rnacentral:rRNA from 1 species